rnacentral:rRNA from 1 species
AGCGGCGGACGGGUGAGUAACACGUGGGCAACCUGCCCUACAGAUGGGGAUAACUCCGGGAAACCGGGGCUAAUACCGAAUAAUCAGUUUGCCCGCAUGGGCGAACUCUGAAAGACGGUUUCGGCUGUCACUGUAGGAUGGGCCCGCGGCGCAUUAGCUAGUUGGUGGGGUAAUGGCCUACCAAGGCAACGAUGCGUAGCCGACCUGAGAGGGUGAUCGGCCACACUGGGACUGAGACACGGCCCAGACUCCUACGGGAGGCAGCAGUAGGGAAUCUUCCACAAUGGACGAAAGUCUGAUGGAGCAAUGCCGCGUGAGCGAAGAAGGUUUUCGGAUCGUAAAGCUCUGUUGUAAGGGAAGAACACGUACGGGAGUAACUGCCCGUGCCAUGACGGUACCUUAUUAGAAAGCCACGGCUAACUACGUGCCAGCAGCCGCGGUAAUACGUAGGUGGCAAGCGUUGUCCGGAAUUAUUGGGCGUAAAGCGCGCGCAGGCGGUUCUUUAAGUCUGAUGU